UACGGAGGGACCGAGCGUUGUCCGGAAUCAUUGGGCGUAAAGAGCGUGUAGGCGGCCUUUUAAGUCCUGCGUGAAAUCCUGCGGCUCAACCGCAGACGGUCGUGGGAAACUGGAAGGCUAGAGUGCGGGAGAGGAGAGUGGAAUUCCCGGUGUAGCGGUGAAAUGCGCAGAUAUCGGGAAGAACACCCGUGGCGAAGGCGGCUCUCUGGAACGCAACUGACGCUGAGACGCGAAAGCGUGGGGAGCAAACAGG
rnacentral:rRNA from 1 species